CUAAGGUUUUUGGAGGAAGGUUCGUCCGCUCCAAGUAAGUCGGGAGCUAAGGUCAGGCCGAAAGGCGUAGCCGAUGCACAUACGGUUGAUAUUCCGUAACCAUCUGUAAUUUAAGCAAAGGGACACUUCAAAAGGGUGUGACCCGGGCGUUGGUUGACCCGGGCGUAAGGGACCGAAAUUAGAGUAGGGAGGCACACUUAGCUGAAGGCGAGAAAAGCUUUGCGUAUAGAAACAGAUGCCCGUACCGUAAACCGACACAGGUGGACAGGAAGAGAAUUCUAAGGCCAGCGGGAGAAGGGUAGUUAAGGAACUCGGCAAAUUGACUCCGUAACUUCGGAAUAAGGAGUGCUCGAAAGAGCCGCAGAGAAUAGGCCCAGGCGACUGUUUAGCAAAAACACAGGUCUCUGCCAAAUCGAAAGAUGAAGUAUAGGGGCUGACACCUGCCCGGUGCCGGAAGGUUAAGAGGAGGAGUGAGAGCUCCGAAUUGAAGCCCCGGUAAACGGCGGCCGUAACAAUAACGGUCCUAAGGUAGCGAAAUUCCUUGUCGGGUAAGUUCCGACCCGCACGAAUGGUGUAACGAUCUGGGCACUGUCUCAACUACCCACCCGGCGAAAUUGUAGUACCGGUGAAGAUGCCGGUUACCUGCGGCAAGACGGAAAGACCCCAUGGAGCUUUACUGUAGCCUGAUAUUGGGUUUCGGAAAUCUAUGUACAGGAUAGGCGGGAGACUGGGAAACAUGAGCGUCAGCUUGUGUGGAGUCGAUGUUGGGAUACCGCCCUUAGGUUUCUGGAAUUCUAACCUGCGGCCGUGAAUCCGGUCGGGGGACAUUGUCAGGUGGGCAGUUUGACUGGGGCGGUCGCCUCCGAAAAGGUAACGGAGGCGCUCAAAGGUUAGCUCAGCACGGACGGAAACCGUGCCUCUGAGUGUAAACGCAAAAGCUAGCCUAACUGCGAGGGUGACGGCCCGAGCAGUAACGAAAGUUGGAGUUAGUGAUCCGGCGGUAUGUGAAUGGAAAUGCCGUCGCUCAACGGAUAAAAGCUACCCUGGGGAUAACAGGCUGAUCUCCCCCAAGAGUCCACAUCGACGGGGAGGUUUGGCACCUCGAUGUCGGCUCAUCACAUCCUGGGGCUGUAUUCGGUCCCAAGGGUUCGGCUGUUCGCCGAUUAAAGUGGUACGCGAGCUGGGUUCAGAACGUCGCGAGACAGUUCGGUCCCUAUCUGUCGUGGGCGCAGGAUAUUUGAGGAGCUCUGUCCUUAGUACGAGAGGACCGGGAUGGACGUACCUCUGGUGCACCAGUUGUCAUGCCAAUGGCACGGCUGGGCAGCUAUGUACGGAACGGACAAACGCUGAAAGCAUCUAAGCGUGAAGCCGACUCCAAGAUUAGAUAUCCCAUCGUAUAACGAGUAAGACCCCUUGAAGACUACGAGGUUGAUAGGCUGCGUGUGUAAGUGCCGUGAGGCAUUCAGCUUGGCAGUACUAAUAGGUCGAGGGCUUGACC
rnacentral:rRNA from 1 species